CCUGGCUCAGAACGAACGUUGGCGGCGUGGAUGAGGCAUGCAAGUCGAGCGAGAAAGCACCUUCGGGUGUGAGUACAGCGGCGGACGGGUGAGUAACACGUAAUCAAGCUGCCCUCGAGACUGGGAUAACAGGGGGAAACUCUUGCUAAUACCGGAUGGUCUUGUUGGUUCGCAUGGACCGGCAAGUAAAGGUGGGGAUCCUACGGGACCUGCCGUUCGAGGAGGCGAUUGCGGCCUAUCAGCUAGUUGGCGGGGUAACGGCCCACCAAGGCGACGACGGGUAGCAGGCCUGAGAGGGUGGUCUGCCACACUGGGACUGAGACACUGCCCAGACUCCUACGGGAGGCUGCAGUCGAGAAUCUUCCGCAAUGGGCGAAAGCCUGACGGAGCGACGCCGCGUGGAGGACGAAGGCCUUAGGGUUGUAAACUCCUGUCACCGAUUAUGAAUGGCAAUACGUGAAUAUCGUAUUGUUUGACGUAAGUCGGGGAGGAAGCACCGGCUAACUCUGUG
rnacentral:rRNA from 1 species